UACAGAGGGGGCAAGCGUUGUUCGGAAUUACUGGGCGUAAAGGGCGCGUAGGCGGCCUCUUAGGUCGAACGUGAAAUCCCCGGGCUCAACCCGGGAACUGCGUCCGAUACUGGGAGGCUUGAAUCCGGGAGAGGGAUGUGGAAUUCCAGGUGUAGCGGUGAAAUGCGUAGAUAUCUGGAGGAACACCGGUGGCGAAGGCGGCAUCCUGGACCGGUAUUGACGCUGAGGCGCGAAAGCUAGGGGAGCAAACGGG
rnacentral:rRNA from 1 species